AUUUGAAAUAUGUCAUUGAUAUUGUCAAUGUACUUGGAAAUGAAAAUCUGUCAAAAUUUCAAUGAAUUGUGAAAAUAUCAAUUCACUUGUACAAAAAAUCAAACGAAAGUCGAGUGGCCCAUCUAGUUCAGAAGAAUCAGAAGAUACCGAUGUGGACACACCUAAACUUUCAUUCAAAAAAAUCUGCUCUGUUUGUGAACCGCAAUUCUUGGAUACUGUGCAUACUUUGAAACAAUCUUUUAAGAAGCUUCUUAACAGACAUAAAGCGAACCUUAAGGAAGAACUGGAUAACUUGUUCGAGAAGAAACAGAA